UACGUAGGGGGCAAGCGUUGUCCGGAUUUAUUGGGCGUAAAGAGCGUGUAGGCGGCCAUACAGGUCCGUUGUGAAAACUCGAGGCUUAACCUCGAGACGUCGAUGGAAACCGUAUGGCUAGAGUCCGGAAGAGGAGAGUGGAAUUCCUGGUGUAGCGGUGAAAUGCGCAGAUAUCAGGAAGAACACCCGUGGCGAAGGCGGCUCUCUGGGACGGUACUGACGCUGAGGCACGAAAGCGUGGGAGCAAACAGG
rnacentral:rRNA from 1 species